rnacentral:rRNA from 1 species
GAUGAACGCUGGCGGCGUGCCUAAUACAUGCAAGUCGAGCGAACGGACGAGAAGCUUGCUUCUCUGAUGUUAGCGGCGGACGGGUGAGUAACACGUGGAUAACCUACCUAUAAGACUGGGAUAACUUCGGGAAACCGUAGCUAAUACCGGAUAAUAUUUUGAACCGCAUGGUUCAAAAGUGAAAGACGGUCUUGCUGUCACUUAUAGAUGGAUCCGCGCUGCAUUAGCUAGUUGGUAAGGUAACGGCUUACCAAGGCAACGAUGCAUAGCCGACCUGAGAGGGUGAUCGGCCACCCUGGAACUGAGCCACGGUCCAGACUCCUACGGGAGGCAGCAGUAGGGAAUCUUCCGCAAUGGGCGAAAGCCUGACGGAGCAACGCCGCGUGAGUGAUGAAGGUCUUCGGAUCGUAAAACUCUGUUAUUAGGGAAGAACAUAUGUGUAAGUAACUGUGCACAUCUUGACGGUACCUAAUCAGAAAGCCACGGCUAACUACGUG